rnacentral:piRNA from 1 species
UGCUGUUAUGGAACAGUGCAGAUAUGGA